GGACUACUCGGGUAUCUAAUCCCAUUCGCUACCCACGCUUUCGUGUUUCAGUGUCAGGAGUGCCCCAGUCUGCUGCCUUCGCUUUUGGUGUUCCCCAUAAUAUCAACGCAUUUCACCGCUACACUAUGAGUUCCGCAGACCUCUUGCAUCCUCUAGUCUUGCCGUUUCCCGUGCAUGCCCCCGGUUAAGCCGAAGAAUUUAACACGAGACUAACAAGACCACCUACACACCCUUUACGCCCAAUGAUUCCGGAUAACGCUUGAGGCACUCGUAUUACCGCGGCUGCUGGCAC
rnacentral:rRNA from 1 species